rnacentral:lncRNA from 1 species
CACACUGCAGGGGGACAGGGGUGAUAGAGUGUGGGGGUACAGCGUCCACACAGGGGGUGAACGGAGACCCCCCCCGUCUUCCAGGUCAAGAUCGCGAGUCACCCCUCAGCCCGACUCGGAGCGAAGCAGGAGGACUGCAGGCACACGAGCUGAGUGUCAGCACCCAGACCCAGACGCCCCAGUUCCCUUCUGCCCCCGCGAACCCCAGAACCCAGAACCCCAGGCCCAGAGCGCAGGGAGAGCAGAACCGGGCCGCGGGCCGGAGGGACAGAGGGGCGGCAGGCGAGCAGGCUGGGAAAACGGCUUUAUUGCUUGAGUGCAGCAGACAGGAGGCACAGAGACGGCCGUCCCCCGGGGGCCCUCCUCUGCGGGGUCACCGGCCCCUGCGGGCGCUCGUCCCGGGGAUCACGGAGGGGCUCCUGCAGGUGCGGUGUGGGGGGUCCUGGUCUCUCGGGGGGCGGCGGGGUACGGGUGGCGCCACACGUCGCUGGGGGCGGGGAGUGCAGGCAUCGGCGCCGUCAUCAGCUUCAGCUGUGUGUGUGUGUGUGUAUCCCUCUGAAACCCCCGGCAGGUGCAUGUGUCAGUGCGUGUGUGUGUGUGUUUGUGUGUCAGUGCGUGUGUGUUUGUGUGUCAGUGCGUGUGCGUGUGUUUGUGUAUCAGUGUGUGUGCGUGUGCAUGCGCGUGUGUGUCACUGCGUGUGCGUGUGUGUGUUUGUGUGUCAGUGUGUGCAUGUUUGUGUCAAUGCGUGUGCGUGUCAGCUUCCUUUCAAGUUGUUGCCCUCUCUCACUUCACUGGGGCAAACCCCACCCUGUCCUUCUCCCGGUCGAAGACGCUAUAGUAUCGCCCGAUAAACACGUCUCCCAGGAUCCACAGCGGACCGGCUGGGGGAGGAACAUCCAUCCCCAUGAACCCCGACAGACAGACGGACACUCCGGCCUGAGACUCCUACACACACAGAGAGAGAGAGAG